UAGGGAAUCUUCCGCAAUGGGCGAAAGCCUGACGGAGCAACGCCGCGUGAGUGAUGAAGGUCUUCGGAUCGUAAAACUCUGUUAUUUGGGAAGAACAAAUGUGUAAGUAACUAUGCACGUCUUGACGGUACCUAAUCAGAAAGCCACGGCUAACUACGUGCCAGCAGCCGCGGUAAUACGUAGGUGGCAAGCGUUAUCCGGAAUUAUUGGGCGUAAAGCGCGCGUAGGCGGUUUUUUAAGUCUGAUGUGAAAGCCCACGGCUCAACCGUGGAGGGUCAUUGGAAACUGGAAAACUUGAGUGCAGAAGAGGAAAGUGGAAUUCCAUGUGUAGCGGUGAAAUGCGCAGAGAUAUGGAGGAACACCAGUGGCGAAGGCGACUUUCUGGUCUGUAACUGACGCUGAUGUGCGAAAGCGUGGGGAUCAAACAGG
rnacentral:rRNA from 2 species